CGAAAGCUAGUUGUAUUAUUAGUUAAUGCAAGAUCGACUACGUCGACUAAAGUUCUAGGUAGAAUAAUGAUGAUGACAAUUUUUUACCUAUAUGUCUUGACCAAGUCUCGUGCCAGCAGUCGCGGUAAUACGUGGAAGACUAGUGUUAUUCAUCUUUAUUAGGUUUAAAGGGUACCUAGACGGUAUUUCUAGCCCAAAAUAGGGUACGGAUUUACUAGAGUUUUAUGUGAGGAGGGGAGUACUCGUGGAGUAAAGAUGAAAUUUUGUUAUACUAUGAGGUAACUGGUGGCGGCGAAAGCAACCUUCUAUGUAUAAACUGACGUUGAGGGACGAAGGCUUGGGUAGCAAAUAGGAUUAAAUACCCUAGUAGUCCAAGCAGACAAUUCUGAAUGCCAUAGAUUAAAUUAUUUUUGGUCUAUAAAUGAAAGUGUAAGCAUUCCACCUUAGGAGUAAUGUGGCAACACAGGAACUGAAAUCAUUAGACCGUUUCUGAAACCAGUAGUGAAGUAUGUUAUUUAAAUUGAUGGUCCACAAAAAACCUUACCACAACUUGAAUAUUUUUUAAUUAAUACAAGCGUUGCACGGCUGUCUUCAUUUAAUGUCGUGAGAUUUUGGUUAACUCCAUUAAUUAACGUAAACCCUUACUUUAUUUAUUUUUUUU
rnacentral:rRNA from 1 species